rnacentral:rRNA from 1 species
GAACGCUGGCGGUAUGCUUAACACAUGCAAGUCGAACGGGAUGCUUAGGCAUCUAGUGGCGGACGGGUGAGUAACGCGUGAGAAUCUGGCUCCAGGUCGGGGAUAACAGUUGGAAACGACUGCUAAUACCGGAUGUGCCGAGAGGUGAAAGAUUUAUCGCCUGGAGAUGAGCUCGCGUCUGAUUAGCUAGUUGGCGGUGUAAGGGACCACCAAGGCAUCGAUCAGUAGCUGGUCUGAGAGGAUGAUCAGCCACACUGGGACUGAGACACGGCCCAGACUCCUACGGGAGGCAGCAGUGGGGAAUUUUCCGCAAUGGGCGAAAGCCUGACGGAGCAAUACCGCGUGAGGGAGGAAGGCUCUUGGGUCGUAAACCUCUUUUCUCAAGGAAGAAGAAAGUGACGGUACUUGAGGAAUAAGCAUCGGCUAACUCCGUGCCAGCAGCCGCGGUAAUACGGAGGAUGCAAGCGUUAUCCGGAAUGAUUGGGCGUAAAGGGUCUGCAGGUGGAACUGAAAGUCUGCUGUUAAAGAGUUUGGCUUAACCAAAUAAAAGCGGUGGAAACUACAGAACUAGAGUGCGGUAGGGGCAAAAGGAAUUCCUGGUGUAGCGGUGAAAUGCGUAGAUAUCAGGAAGAACACCGGUGGCGAAAGCGUUUUGCUAGACCGUAACUGACACUGAGGGACGAAAGCUAGGGGAGCGAAUGGGAUUAGAUACCCCA